ensembl:miRNA
UGAGGGCUGGUGCGGCCGGUGCUCCCUCGGCCUGGGCUCGGGGCAGCCCUAGCCCCGACACCC